GACGGAGGAGGCAAGCGUUAUCCGGAAUCAUUGGGCGUAAAGCGUCCGUAGGUGGUUUGACAAGUCUGGGGUUAAAGCCCGGAGCCCAACUCCGGAUCGGCCCUGGAAACUGUCAGACUUGAGUAAGGUAGGGGUUGCGGGAAUUCCCGGUGUAGCGGUGAAAUGCGUAGAUAUCGGGAAGAACACCAGCGGCGAAAGCGCGCAACUGGGCCAUUACUGACACUGAGGGACGAAAGCUAGGGGAGCGAAUGGG
rnacentral:rRNA from 1 species